GGUUGAAGAAAAAAAAAGUUAAUGCUGAAAAAAUCCCAGAUGACCAAAAUCAAAGAAACAUAGUGUGUCUCACCUCGUAUACGGGAAAAAGAAACUCUCUGUCACCUCUCACAUUUGUGAUUCACAUCCUAAACCACGGGGCCUAACCUGAACCCUAGCGCCGCCCAUUCCCUCCCUUUUCCAUCGGCUAGUUAUUGCCGUCAUCCGAAAGGUGUCGUAGCUGCUGGAAUCGGCCCCAAGGAGACUUCCACCUUUAAGCUCGGCGUGGGCGCACAAAGAAUGGAGCUGAGGUUCGUGUCGUCCUGGCGGUAGUCAUCUGUCCUUCGUGCUCGUCUUGUUGUCGUCGAUGAAGUGGUUUUCUUCUCGGCGGUUUAGUGAUUAGUUCUCUCCUUGACAUCCACCGGUUGGUAAAGUCGCCCUCUCUGCAACUGUUUCGCCAUUUGUAUGGACGUCCCCCAGGUUGAUGAUGUAGUUAAUAUAAUGUGUGAAGAUGGAGUUGGUGAUACGGAGACAGUUGAUUAUGGAGAUGUUGUGGAACUAACGGAGGAUGAUAUUUUAAGGAAGGUUUUUCGCAGCGAGGAUGAUGCUUACGAGUUUUAUAAGAAAUUAGGAAAAUUUUAUGGAUUUGGAAUUAGAAGGGGAGACAUGUUCAAGGAUGAGGAGGGUAAUUCGGUUCGGAGAAGAUUUUUUUGCAAUAGAGAAGGAUAGAGAGAUAAGAAACAUUAUAACAGGGUCGAUAGAAAGAGGCCGCACAAGCCGGAGACAAGGACGAAUUGUGAAGCGAGGAUGUGUGUGUAUCUAGAUAAGGAAAGGUCGCUGUGGAGGGUGAAGAAAGUCAUUUUGAACCACAACCAUGAGAUGACGCAUCACGGAAUGGUUCAUCUAAUUCUAAGUUUUCGUUACAUGACGGAUGCUGCGAAAGCACAAAUAGAGGGAUUUCAAGGAUGUGGCAUCUCAACAUCAAAGACAAUGCGGUAUAUGGCAGGCAUAUCUGGAGGGUAUUCACUUGUAGGGUUUUUGAAGAAGGACGCCUACAACUACAUUGAUAAGAGACGUCGUGCAAGGAUAGCUGAUGGAGACGCGAAUGCAGCCAUAGUGUACUUGGAGGGUAAAGUUGAUGCAGACCCGACUUCGAUGGCAAGGUUUAAUGUGACGGAGAAUGAAAUGCUAGCCAAUUUAUUCUGGGCGGAUGGUGGCAACAGGAUAGAUUACCAAUAUUUUGGAGACGUACUGGCAUUCGACUCAACUUACAGGAAAAACAAAUACAAGAGGCCAUUGGUGAUUUUCUCAGGGUGCAAUAACCACAAGCAAACAUGUAUUUUUGGGUUUGGUUUGGUAUUAGAUGAGAGUAUUGCUUCAUAUACAUGGCUUCUGGAGAAUUUCUUGGAGGUCAUGUGUAACAGGCAGCCGUCUGUUGUUGUUACGGAUGGCGAUGAUUCAAUUCGAGAAGCUGUACGAGUAGUUUUUACGAAUGCAACGCAUAGGUUAUGUGCUUGGCACUUUGAGAAGAAUGUGAUGUCAAACGUGAAGGAUGAGAAUUUGCGUCGGCUAUUUAAUAGGUAGAUUUAUGCCGAUAUGACUGUUGAAGACUUUGAAGCAGAGUGGGCCCAGGCCGAAGCUAAUUAUUGUUUGAAGGGUGCAGUGUGGUGGAACCAAGUGUAUGGAAAGAAGGAGAUGUGGGCAAAAGCUUUCUUGUGUGAGAAAUUUUGUGCUGGGUAUCGGACAACUUCACGAUGCGAAGGGAUAAAUUCUGUGUGCAAGAAUUUCCUUGAAUCGAAACAUAGUAUGUUGGAUCUUAUGCAGAAUCUGGAACUUCUUGUGCGUGAGUAUAGGAAUAAUGAAUUGAUGGCACAGUUCAGGUCCAUUUAUAGUGUGCCGGUUAUGACAACCUCGUUGGAGUCCCUUGAGCAUCAUGCGGCUUCUAUUUACACAAGAGCGAUAUUUGGAGAUGUAAAAGGAGAUUGAGAGUGUAUCUUCAGUUAAUUUUGUAGGUGUGAAGAGGUCGUUGACCACAAAGGUUUACACAGUUGAGGAGUAUGGUCGUCCUGGCCGUAAUAUUAUGGUUUUAUGUGAUAAGAAUAUGGGAAAAUUGGAAUGUCGUUGUAAGUUUUGGAGAAUUCAGGGGUAUCCAUGCAAACAUAUGUUUUUUGUAAUGAAGCAUGAACACUUGUUGGCAAUACCUGGUAGCCUAGUGUUGAAGCGUUGGACAAAAGAAGCAAAAGCAUUGGAGGCAUACGUUGAGAAAACUGAUGAUAAUUGCGAUAGAGGCUUCUUGCUUCGCCAUGGAGCACUUCAUUCAGCGUCACGUUGGUUGUUCUUUUUAGGUGCUCAGAAGAUUAGUUUAUUCACUAUUGCUUUGGAUGGGAUUCGUAGCCUUUGUGCAACCUUGGAAUCAGAAUUUCUGAACGGUGUCGAUGCAAUGAAUUCGAAUGCAUGCGGUUAAAUUCGAGAUCCUAUAGUCGUGAGAACAAAGGGAGCACCAAAGCGUCAAAAGAGGAAGGCGUCUAAGAGAAAGUGUGCCACGUGCAACAAGCCGGGGCACACUAAAAGAACUUGCAGAGAGGGAAGACCUCGUAAGGGGAAAAGGCCUCGACAAGAUGAGUUGGAUUCGGAUCUAGUUAAGGCAGUACAACGUGAUGAGUGUGCUGAUCUGGACGUCAUUGGAUCGGAUGACCAAAAGAUUGUGGAAGAAGAAGGGUUCGCAGGUAGGUCUGUUGGCAUGUCCCGGGUAGAUUCCAUGACGACUGUAGCGUUCGGCAGACAUUAUGGGCAGAAUUCGUUCACUACUGAGGAUGUUGUUGGUCCAUGUCAACAGGUGCUGGAAAUUUUACACAAGAAGGCCAGAAUAGUUUAGCCAAAUGAGUAUUUGGUUCGAGGUUUUGUUAUUGUGUCGUGGCAUGUUGUCUCCGUAAGAAAAAGAAAGGAUAAGCGGUGGUACGAAAAAGCCUGUUUAGCUAGUUAGAUAUUGUGUUCAACACGUUUGGAAUAGUUACUUUUAAUGUUGGUUGAUAUGGACUACAGCUAUGGGUAUGAUGUUGUCGCGUUGCUUUUUCCUUUUAUGUGAUGUUAUUGUUACCAGGACCAUGCAUACUUCAGUGGGGAGUAAGCUGUUUGAGUUUUAUUCCAGUUUUUCUUAUUGACUCUGUUGGCGUUGCAUAAGAUAGAAAUAUAAGUUUGAAUACGUUUGUGGUUAAAAUUGUUCA